rnacentral:rRNA from 1 species
UACGUAGGGUGCAAGCGUUGUCCGGAAUUAUUGGGCGUAAAGAGCUCGUAGGCGGUCUGUCGCGUCUGCUGUGAAAACUCAGGGCUUAACCCUGAGCUUGCAGUGGGUACGGGCAGACUAGAGUGCGGUAGGGGAGACUGGAAUUCCUGGUGUAGCGGUGAAAUGCGCAGAUAUCAGGAGGAACACCGGUGGCGAAGGCGGGUCUCUGGGCCGUAACUGACGCUGGAGAAAGCGAAA